rnacentral:tRNA from 1 species
CUCCCCAAGUUGGAUUUGAACCAACGACAAACUGGUUAACAGCCAGCUGCUCUACCACUGAGCUAUUGGAGA